CCGGCGUCUAAGGUAGGCUUCCAUUACAAUACUUUACUGAUGAGUCCAGUAUUGUGAAGCCGGGACGAAACGCCAA
rnacentral:hammerhead_ribozyme from 15 species